rnacentral:rRNA from 1 species
AUUGAACGCUGGCGGCAGGCCUAACACAUGCAAGUCGAGCGGAUGAAGGGAGCUUGCUCCUGGAUUCAGCGGCGGACGGGUGAGUAAUGCCUAGGAAUCUGCCUGGUAGUGGGGGAUAACGUCCGGAAACGGGCGCUAAUACCGCAUACGUCCUGAGGGAGAAAGUGGGGGAUCUUCGGACCUCACGCUAUCAGAUGAGCCUAGGUCGGAUUAGCUAGUUGGUGGGGUAAAGGCCUACCAAGGCGACGAUCCGUAACUGGUCUGAGAGGAUGAUCAGUCACACUGGAACUGAGACACGGUCCAGACUCCUACGGGAGGCAACAGUGGGGAAUAUUGGACAAUGGGCGGAAGCCUGAUCCAGCCAUGCCGCGUGUGUGAAGAAGGUCUUCGGAUUGUAAAGCACUUUAAGUUGGGAGGAAGGGCAGUAAGUUAAUACCUUGCUGUUUUGACGUUACCAACAGAAUAAGCACCGGCUAACUUCGUG